AGCGAACGCUGGCGGCAGGCCUAACACAUGCAAGUCGAGCGGGCACUUUCGGGUGUCAGCGGCGGACGGGUGAGUAACGCGUGGGAACGCGCCCUCUGGUUCGGAAUAACUCAGGGAAACUUGAGCUAAUACCGGAUACGCUCCUUUGGGGAAAGGCUUGCUGCCGGAGGGUCGGCCCGCGUCUGAUUAGCUAGUUGGUGAGGUAAGGGCUCACCAAGGCGACGAUCAGUAGCUGGUCUGAGAGGAUGAUCAGCCACACUGGGACUGAGACACGGCCCAGAAUCCUACGGGAGGCAGCAGUGGGGGAUAUUGGACCAUGGGCGCAAGCCUGAUCCAGCCAUGCCGCGUGAGUGAUGAAGGCCUUAGGGUUGUUAAGCUCUUUUAUCCGGGAAGAUAAUGACGGUACCGGAGGAAUAAGCCCCGGCUAACUUCGUG
rnacentral:rRNA from 1 species